AACGAACGCUGGCGGCAGGCCUAACACAUGCAAGUCGAGCGAGGACUUCGGUUCUAGCGGCGGACGGGUGAGUAACGCGUGGGAAUGUGCCCUUCUCUACGGAAUAGCCCUGGGAAACUGGGAGUAAUACCGUAUACGCCCUAUUGGGGAAAGAUUUAUCGUAGAAGUAUCAGCCCGCGUUGGAUUAGGUAGUUGGUGGGGUAAUGGCCUACCAAGCCGACGAUCCAUAGCUGGUUUGAGAGGAUGAUCAGCCACACUGGGACUGAGACACGGCCCAGACUCCUACGGGAGGCAGCAGUGGGGAAUCUUAGACAAUGGGGGCAACCCUGAUCUAGCCAUGCCGCGUGAGUGAUGAAGGCCUUAGGGUUGUAAAGCUCUUUCAGCUGGGAAGAUAAUGACGGUACCAGCAGAAGAAGCCCCGGCUAACUCCGUG
rnacentral:rRNA from 1 species